UAGGGUUGUUAGAGCUAUUGGAACAUAUAACGUGCGUGCUGGUUAUGACUACUACAAUAGGUAUAGACCUUGAAAUAUAAGUGAGUUGCAUGGACUAAGCAAAGUUACUUGUAGAUCUAGUUUAUUAUGCACUGAGUGUAGAAAUAGAUAUUGUUGUGAUGGCCUCGAUUAAACCGCAGCGUAGUGCGGAUGUUACUUGAGAUACCAACCGUUUCCUGUCCCUCUAACUCUUCAAUCUAUGGUUAGAUCUAGCUCUAGCUGUGUACUCACUGACUGUGUAGUUUUGUAAAAAAACAGAGAUAGGUUCACUCUGGCGAAAAUCGAUAUACUCGGCAAAUAGGAAAGAAACCUUGCUCAUUCCAGAGAAUUUCACGGGGAAUAUACAAUGGAGGAAGUAUACCACAACACAUGCACAUGCACAUAGGAAAGAAACCUUGCUCAUUCCAGAAAAUUUCACGGGGGAAUAUACAAUGGAGGAAGUAUACCACAACACAUGCACAUGCACAUAGGAAAGAAACCUUGCUCAUUGCAGAGACUUUCACGGGGGAAUACACAAUGUGGUUAAAAUGCAGUGCAUAUAUAAGGAAGUCAGUUAAACGGGACAAAAGUAUAGGAAAGAUCAAUCUGCUUCAAGAGGCCAUGGCAAUGAAAAUGAUUGUGUUUUUUACUCUGCUUGCUUUGAGCUGCUCAGCUGCUGUAGCUGACUCUCAGUCUCAACAAGGUGACACUAUGAAUGCAGAAUUCAUUGAUCUGAUGAAAGUUCUCAAUCAAAAAGCCAAGGAGCAGGGUGAUGCAUCCAACUUCGAAGCUAAGCUGCAAAGCCUCAAUCAGAAAGCAAUAGAGCAGAGUCACACAUCCAACUUUGGAGCUAAGUUGCAAAGCCUCAAAGAUUCAAUCGCCGUGACAAUGGCUCGCAGUUGCAGUGAGUUAUGCCAGUCAGCAAAUUAUGGAGAUGGAGUAAUAAUUGGAACGGCACCAAUCUGUGGCGGAAAUUGUAAUAGUGAUUGUCCCCAUCCUCACUGCUACAUAGGUACUACUAACUGGUCUGACUAUGGAGCGUCAUGCUGGUUGGGGGGCAACAAAGUGUGCUGCUGUGCACUGUGAUAAAGUGAAGAAAAGACGAAAGACAUUGAAGCUGUCAGUACUGUAUACAUAGUGUUGUUUAUUAGCUUAUUAUAAGUAUACAAAAAUAUACAAGCAUUUAAGAGGCUAUAAUUAUUAUAGAACAUUGUGUGUAUUGUAUUUGUUACCUUAUGUAUAAUUAUAAGUAAAUGUAUUUCCUUAUGUUCAAUUUUUGUAAUGUAAUGCCAGCCUAUGCCUGGAUUGAUUUAGUUUUGUGAUGGAACUAGACUGAGAAGUGAACGUUAUGUG